UACAGAUGUGGCAAGCGUUGUUCGGAAUUACUGGGCUUAAAGGGCGCGUAGGUGGCCUUCUUAGUCAGACGUGAAAUCCCCAGGCUUAACCUGGGAACUGCGCUCGAAACUACUUGGCUAGAGUGUGGCAGAGGGAGGUGGAAUUCCACGUGUAGCGGUGAAAUGCGUAGAGAUGUGGAGGAACACCGAUGGCGAAGGCAGCCUCCUGGGCCAACACUGACGCUCAUGCACGAAAGCGUGGGGAGCAAACAGG
rnacentral:rRNA from 1 species